AGACUGACUUCUUACCAUCUUUCUUUCUUUCUUUUUUUUUUUUUUAAAGAUUUUUUAAUUUAUUUGUCAGAGAGAGAGAGGGGGAGAGAGAGCGAGCAGAGGGAGAGAGAGAGGCAGACAGAAUGGCAGGCAGAGGCAGAGGGAGAAGCAGACUCCCUGCCGAGCAAGGAGCCCGAUGUGGGACUCGAUCCCAGGACGCUGGGAUCAUGACCUGAGCUGAAGGCAGCUGCUUAACCAACUGAGCCACCCAGGCGUCCCUCUUACCAUCUUUCUUAAGGAUCUACAGACAUCACACUUAAGAUUAGUUUUGGAAGUAAAAGGUCUGAAGUCAGUUUCCCCAGAGCCCAAGUCAAGGUGUCCACAGGCUUGGAUCCUUCUGGAGGAAGGAGGCUCCCAGGGGAAAAUCUGUGGCAUUGCCUUUUUCAACUUCUCAUUGCUGCCUGUGUUCCUUGGCCUGUGACCUCUUCCUCCAUAGUCAAAGGACAUCACUUGAGUUUCUGCUUCCAACACCCUGUUGCCAUCUCCUCUGGUUCUGACUCCUCCUGUCUGCCUCACAAGGACUGCCAUGAUCACACUGCCACGGUGUGAGCAGCCCUAUGGGGGAACCCCCCGGCAAGGAAUGGAAGCUUCCGACCGACAGACCAAGGCUGGUGAGGAGCCAAGGCCUGCAACAGCCCUGCGGGACUGCAAGCGCGUCACCAGCCCCUACCGGACCCCGAGAUGAACACAGCCCUGGCUGGCGGCCCAGCUGCAAGCUUGCUAGUGGCCCUGACCCAGAAACCACCCUCCCAGUUGGGCUCUGCCUGGACCCCUGGCCCUCCAGAAACGUGAGCUAAGAGAUGCUCAAGUAUUGUUUGAAGCUGCUGAGUCUUGGGGCAAUCUGUCAUCCAGCAACAAAACCUAUCACAUACGUGCAUGGCGGAACGACCAGGAGGAUGUAAUGCAAAAUUCGGUGAGUGGUUUUUCUCUAGGUAGGGGGAUUACGGCUCAUUUUAGUUUCUCUUUUGGGACAUUGUUGGCAAUGUUUUUCCUUUUUCAUUGACUUAAAAAACCACAUGACCGAGAGAGAGGAUAGAACUUUCACAGGAUAAAAGGUUAAAGAUUAGUGGAGCUGAUUUUAACUCUAAUAACCUUUAAAGGCUCAAGUAAGUUAGCUUAAGUGUACCACAAAAACAAAAGCAAGAGGACCCUUCCGAGAGUGCACCUGCAUGGCCCAGUGGCGUGAGUUUCAUCAGCCAGAAACCUCACGGUGCAUUCAGUACCUGCAAGGAAAGGAGACUUGGACGGGCUUCUUAAAAGAGAAAUCCAUCAGUCAUGAAGUCACCUGCUAGCCAAUCACGGAGUCUCGCUUACCCAGCUUCUGGUCAAACCGCCACGCCGCCACGUAGGCAUUGUGCCUCAGACUGCUCUGCGUGGCCAGGGGCACGGUGACAUAAAUGGGCCCAUCCACCAGCACUGGCGUCCCAUCGCCUCUGAGCAAGUGGACGCUGACGGCCGUGACUGGGGUCAGGUCGUACCUGGUGCCGUUUCCUGCAAGCAAGAGGGAUUCUCCAUCACAUGUGCAGAAGGGACCUAUGUGGGGCUCAGGCCACUGUCUGCACCCACCAUUCACAAAGUAUGGUGCCUCCUACACGCCAGGGACUGUAGUAAGCACUUGGCAUUUCUAAAAUCCUCACUGCACCUUUGUAAGGCAGGCAAAAUCCACAUUUUAUACGUAAAAGCAACAGGCUCACGGAGGGCAGUCGUCGACAGGGGCUGGCCCCAGGGGCGUGGGGGUCUGCCUGGGAUCCAAGCUCAGGUUUGCCGACUCCAAAUACACUGCGGUGCUUUGCUUUCAAAAAGGGACCUCAAAAGGAAAAGACUCAUCUAUAAAGUGAGAGGACAGGAUGUGCAGAAAUCCCUGACAUCAACUCCUAGACAAAGUCAGCCCCAUGCACGUGUUAAUUAUUUGGCAGAGCCCCAUUGUGAAACCAAAUGUUUUAUAUUAGAGACUGCUUAAAAAAAGGGGGGGGGAUUUUUUUCCCCCCAAGGAAUGCUUCUACUAAAAGUAAACUACUGAAAACUUGGACUUGAAAUAUUUAUGAGUUAUUUUAGUUGCCAUUGUUAUUUUGAUCUGUUUAAAAGGAAUUUAAUACCCCAAUUAUUCUACAUUAGAGGGCUUUUACCCAAGCCUAUGCUUUAAUGACUGCCUACUUUAUAGAUAAAUCAGGGAAUGCUUAUGACAGUGAUAUUAUAUUUAUAUACUUAAGUAAUCCAUUUCAGGACAAUUUUUCUCCAGUGAAAUAUAAUAUCACACAAAAUGUUUUCUGUUAUAAUUUUAAAUCUUGAGCACAAUGACAAAAGCAUGGUGAUUAAAAAAAAAAUGUAAGCUCCAUCAGAACAUAAUCUAUAGGAUUUCUUAAGGUACUUAGAUACUUACCAACCUAUCAAUUCCCUGAGUUAAUGCAAACCUCCACUUAGGACUAGAUAUAAACAUUUAAAGUGAAUCUAAGUGAAUUUUAGGGUUCAACACCAGUUAUAGCUAAACCCUUUGUAGAGCAAUGUAUAUAUGGGUCACGACAGUGCUACCUUUCACAAUUUAUGCCCAUCUCUAUCCUUGAAGGAAAAGGCAUGAUGAUGGGAAUUUCAUCAAAAGGUCCAUCCUGGAAUCAGGUUCAAGUUCUGAAAUCUUGCAGUCUGGCCAUUUCACUUUAGGGUAAAGAAAAUCCAAACCCAGGAUUUACCAGAUUUCUGGUCAAAGCAUCUUCUGGAUGGAGACCUAAAUGUGCCAACUGCCCCCAAGAAGACACAGGAGUAAAAAGCCAGGGAUUUGCUUUUCUUAUCUGCAUCAUCUGGACUAGAUGCUUUCCUAUGAGCCUACGGAAAGAAAACAGACUCAGCUAUAAACAUUCAGAAAAACUCCCACUGACUGGACACGACCAAGAAUACUCCAAGGAAACCAGCCUCCAGCGCCCUUUCCAGUCCCAUUCGUGGCCUCCAUUCACCACUCCCAGACUCCAGUUACGCCCUGCCAUUUCAUAGGUGUGAACCAACACGCCCAGGGGUGGCCGCCUUUCCUGGCAGCGCUCAAGGAGUGUCUGAUUCCUCUUCCCACAUCAGCUGUCAGUUAUUUCAAUGGAAAAGAAGUUGCAUGUAACCUUCUGAAGACCUUCCUCCUUUCCUCUGAAAUAACGGAGUGAUUUUAAAAUAAAGCAAA